CUUGAUUGUUUGAUUAGGAUUGUUAUAUACUGCUUAAAAUUGAUACAUAAUCACAAAUCAACAUCUAAGGGGUUUCUAGAUUUUUCAAGUGUGAUCAUCAAAUGUUGGACUGGGACUCCAUUGAGGAUACUAGUGCUUUUCAACAACAAUAAUAUUUUGUCCCCCCAUAUCACGAGGAGGUGGUGACCGUGCUUCAUGAUGCUAUCUACGUGGCCUCAAACUCCAUACAGCUCAAUGAGUGAAGAUGAUAAUUACCUUGACAUUUUCAAGGUUUUAUCAAACAUUGUCCAACUUUAACCAUUCCCUACAACCUUGCAACAGUCCACACCCUCACCCACCACCACUAGUGUCUCAUUACCAAUGUUAGACAAAGACAAAGGGGAAUCAUCAAGAAAAGCCAAAAUCAAGGAUGGUGAUGAAUUGGAGGAGUAUCCAUGGACUCCAAGCAAAGUGAGUACAUUUCCUUCCUUGGGUUGAUACUACGGUUUUAAAUAUCACAUGAAAAAUUAUCCAAAAUUUUAAUUUUAUCUAGAAUUUAAAUGUAUGAAUACAAUUUAUUUUGCAUAUAGCACACAAUAGACUAACUUCAAAUUCUACAUCUUACACUUUACUUUCAUAUUGUAAAAUUCUAGAUAAAUUUUCAUAGUAACUGGAAUUAUUCUUUAUAUAUCAGCUGAUAUAUUGGGAUUUCAAAUUUUCAAUAUUAGUAUUCUUUGAUAUAUCGAUUGAAAAUCAAGUUGGCUAUUCCUUUUGUUGUCCUCUGGUCCACUUGGAAAUAUAGAAAUGAAUGUGUUUUCAAUGGCUCUCAACUAACCAAGAAGUGCCCUGUGACCUUGUUAAGGUGAGAAUAACAUUGUGGGUUAAGGCUUCAUCACCCUCUUUGGUGUUUUCUGUUAAUGACAUUGUAUCAAACCUACAACAGGUCUUAUUUUGCCUUAGAAAUGGUGGCUGAGCUGCUAUCUCUUUCGUUCCCUUUUGAGGGUACUAGUAAAUGGUUGCUGCUGUGAUGGUAUCUGGUGCUGGUCUGCUAUGCUCUGGUUGCUGCUGUGAUGGUCUCCUUUUUGGGCGUUUUGCUUCUUCAUGCUGGACUGCUAUGCUUAGGUGCUAGUAAAUGGUAGGAUGGCUGAUUGGCUGAGUUAGGAUAUUGUGUGGGUUGGUCUGUCCUAGAUAAAUGGCCGAAUGUUUGUGUUGGGUGGCUAAAUGGCUGUAUGACUUUGAUGCUAGACUGCUUUGCUUAGAUGCCUAGAUGCUUAGAUGCUGGUCUGUGCUAUUGUUGUUGUGUUGGUUGGUCUACCUUCUCAUUGGUUUCUUACAAACUCUGGGGAUGCUAGCAAAUAAUAGGAUGGAUUUUUUGGUGCCAACCUAGUUGGGAUGAUUUAGCUCAUUGUGAUGCUUUUACAGACCCUUUUUUUUUAUUGAUGUAAUUUGCUUUGUACUUGUACUUGUUUAUUCCAUCAAUAAAGUUUCUUUUAUGUCAAUAAAAAAAAACGAUAUAUCGAUUGAGAUUACCUGAUAAAUAUGAUCAUAUUAUCCAUAAUAAUUAAUACACACAAAUAUAUAAAAGUCUAGCGACUUCAUACAAGUAUCUUACAUCAGUGUUUUUCUAUUUUUGUUUUGUUUUUGUUUAUGUGUGGAUAUUUGCCCCUUAUUGUGGCUUUAGGGGACUGCAAGGUCUACAGCAUCAAAAGAUACCAAGAUGACAAGCAGCCUAAAAGGACUCGUUCGGCUGCAACACAUAAUAUGUCAGAGAGGAUGUGUGGGGAUCGGAUUAGAUGCAAGAUAAGAGAACUUUAAGAACUGGUUCCCAACUAUUACAAGGUGAUGUCCAUGGUAGGAGGAGAAAGUGUUAUAUGCCAAGCACCAUAUUUGUCAUCAACUCAAUAUCAAAGCAUACAAAUGCCUCAUUACUAUCCAUCCAUAGCUAUGUGGCCAAGGAUGGGUUUUGGAAUGGGAAUGAAUAGCAUGUCUUCUUCAAGUCUCCACUCUCACCAUCAGCAACCACCGGAGUUGUUCCAAUUCCCCAUUUGCAAGUGUCAUUCAAUUCCUUGCAACCGCUGCCUGCCCCAGCUCCUGCUGCCAUUGUGCAACCAGCAUUCAUUUCAAAGUGCUAACAAGAUGUACCAAGAAUGUCUACUGAUGUCCAGCAACUCAUGCCAAUGACAAGUCAGGUUCUUUCUAUAUUCUUUUACCUUCCAAGAAAUGGUAUAUAUGAUAAAACGCGCAUAUGAUCACUAAAAUAUGUGUUUCCUCUUACUUUGGAAAGCUUCUCAAUGCACACAUAAAACAUUUAAGUACACUAACCACAUGCAUUGAGAGCCUUGUACCUCUUGUAAUAAACAAUUGUACUAUGAGUGUACUUAAAUAUAUGUGUGCAAUUGGG